rnacentral:rRNA from 1 species
CGGUAACAGGAAGCAGCUUGCUGCUUCGCUGACGAGUGGCGGACGGGUGAGUAAUGUCUGGGAAGCUGCCUGAUGGAGGGGGAUAACUACUGGAAACGGUGGCUAAUACCGCAUAACGUCGCAAGACCAAAGAGGGGGACCUUCGGGCCUCUUGCCAUCAGAUGUGCCCAGAUGGGAUUAGCUUGUUGGUGAGGUAACGGCUCACCAAGGCGACGAUCCCUAGCUGGUCUGAGAGGAUGACCAGCCACACUGGAACUGAGACACGGUCCAGACUCCUACGGGAGGCAGCAGUGGGGAAUAUUGCACAAUGGGCGCAAGCCUGAUGCAGCCAUGCCGCGUGUAUGAAGAAGGCCUUCGGGUUGUAAAGUACUUUCAGCGGGGAGGAAGGUGUUGUGGUUAAUAACCGCAGCAAUUGACGUUACCCGCAGAAGAAGCACCGGCUAACUCCGUGCCAGCAGCCGCGGUAAUACGGAGGGUGCAAGCGUUAAUCGGAAUUACUGGGCGUAAAGCGCACGCAGGCGGUCUGUCAAGUCGGAUGUGAAAUCCCCGGGCUCAACCUGGGAACUGCAUUCGAAACUGGCAGGCUUGAGUCUUGUAGAGGGGGGUAGAAUUCCAGGUGUAGCGGUGAAAUGCGUAGAGAUCUGGAGGAAUACCGGUGGCGAAGGCGGCCCCCUGGACAAAGACUGACGCUCAGGUGCGAAAGCGUGGGGAGCAAACAGGAUUAGAUACCCUGGUAGUCCACGCCGUAAACGAUGUCUACUUGGAGGUUGUGCCCUUGAGGCGUGGCUUCCGGAGCUAACGCGUUAAGUAGACCGCCUGGGGAGUACGGCCGCAAGGUUAAAACUCAAAUGAAUUGACGGGGGCCCGCACAAGCGGUGGAGCAUGUGGUUUAAUUCGAUGCAACGCGAAGAACCUUACCUGGUCUUGACAUCCACGGAAGUUUUCAGAGAUGAGAAUGUGCCUUCGGGAACCGUGAGACAGGUGCU